CCAGGGUGGGGCUGGGGAAAGGGACGGACUGGAGGGGAGGAGACUGGCUGUGGGCAAUGGAGGGAGACGAGACGGAAGGAGGGCUUCCGAGGCUGGGAGGUGGAGCACGGCGGGAAUGGCUGGGCCGUAGAAAAGAACCUGACCCUGGUGCCGGGGGCUCCUUCCCA